rnacentral:rRNA from 1 species
UGGGAAUUUGGACGAAUGGGCGAAAGCCUGAUCCAGCAAUGCCGCGUGUGUGAAGAAGGCCUUCGGGUUGUAAAGCACUUUUGUCCGGAAAGAAAUCCUUGGCUCUAAUACAGUCGGGGGAUGACGGUACCGGAAGAAUAAGCACCGGCUAACUACGUGCCAGCAGCCGCGGUAAUACGUAGGGUGCAAGCGUUAAUCGGAAUUACUGGGCGUAAAGCGUGCGCAGGCGGUUUGCUAAGACCGAUGUGAAAUCCCCGGGCUCAACCUGGGAACUGCAUUGGUGACUGGCAGGCUAGAGUAUGGCAGAGGGGGGUAGAAUUCCACGUGUAGCAGUGAAAUGCGUAGAGAUGUGGAGGAAUACCGAUGGCGAAGGCAGCCCCCUGGCAAGUACUGACGCUCAUGCACGAAAGCGUGGGGAGCAAACNGGAUUAAUNCCCUGGUAGUCCACGCCCCUAAAANGAUGUCAACUAGUUGUUUGGGGAUUCAUUUCCUUAGUAACGUAGCUAACGCGUGAAGUUGACCGCCUGGGGAGUACGGUCGCAAGA